CACCAAGACUAUUGACGACGGAAAACCUAUUUCACAAGUAUGUAACGCAAAUUGGAACGUUACUUACUUCGUGUGUAACAAUCGGUUCAUUGGCUCUCGCAUUCUAUGUAACAAAACGACUGCUGCAUUAGUAAACCACGCCACACACUUUGCUGGCCCCUAAGUACUUUUCCUGGAAUUCAUGACUGCGGUUGAUGAAAUUCAUCUGGAAGAACGCCUUCG